CAAAAAGGAGAAGAAAACCAAUCAUUCGGAUCAGUAAAAGUGAAUUUGUUGAUGCAGAUGAAAGUGACCUACCAGACCCUGUCCCAGAAGUUCCUGGAAAGCCACUAUUAACUGAAAUACCCAACUCAGAAAUUAAAGCCCCAUCUAAUGGAGAAGAAAUCAAAUUUCUUGCUGAGGAAACAGUACGAGCAUGGGAGAAGAUGAGGAAAGGAGCCAAGAGGCUAAUGAAGAUGUACCCGGUGAGAGUAUGUGGAUAUUGCCCAGAGGUGCAUGUAGGACCCAGUGGACACAAAGCACAGAACUGUGGAGCCCACAAGCACCAACAAAGAAACGGAC
rnacentral:misc_RNA from 1 species